rnacentral:tRNA from 1 species
CAGAUAUUAGUUUUAUAAAAAUUUUAAUUUUGGAGAUUAAAGAUAAGAAAUUUCUUAUAUCUGA